rnacentral:rRNA from 1 species
UACAGAGGUCCCAAGCGUUGUUCGGAUUCAUUGGGCGUAAAGGGUGUGUAGGUGGCGCCGUAAGUCGGGUGUGAAAUCUCGGGGCUUAACUCCGAAACUGCAUUCGAUACUGGGGUGCUUGAGGACUGGAGAGGAGACUGGAAUUCAUGGUGUAGCAGUGAAAUGCGUAGAGAUCAUGAGGAAGACCAGUGGCGAAGGCGGGUCUCUGGACAGUUCCUGACACUGAGACACGAAGGCCAGGGGAGCAAACGGG